rnacentral:siRNA from 1 species
UAUGAUUAUCACAGCAGUGACUGC